rnacentral:rRNA from 1 species
CCGUCUUGAAACACGGACCAAGGAGUUUAUCGUGUGCGCAAGUCAUUGGGUGUUGAAAACUCAAAGGCGCAAUGAAAGUAAAGAAUCCGCAAGGAUACGACGUGUGAUCUGAGCAAUCACGAUUGCCUGGAGCAACAUGGCCCCAUUCUGGUCGCUUGCGACGGGGUGGAGGAAGAGCGUACGCGGUGAGACCCGAAAGAUGGUGAACUAUUCCUGAGCAGGAUGAAGCCAGAGGAAACUCUGGUGGAAGUCCGAAGCGAUUCUGACGUGCAAAUCGAUCGUCUGACUUGGGUAUAGGGGCGAAAGACUAAUCGAACCAUCUAGUAGCUGGUUCCUUCCGAA